CUUUAUUAUUUUUUGUUAAUUAUAAUAUGUUAUGUAAAUUAAUUUGUUUCAGUCUACUAAUGGUUUGUGGUGUGUUUACUUUGAUAUUACGAUUAACAGAAGUUAAUAUAUAUUUUUACAAAUUAAAUUAAAAUAUCAAUAUAUAGGGUUCAGAUGCAGUAAAAAUUACACAUGGACAAAUUCAUAAAAUUUAUGAAUCCGACAUGAACAAAUUUAAUUAAAAUAUCAAUAUAUAGGGUUGAAUGCAUUGUUCAUAUGUUACAUUAAUUUAUUCACGUCAAAUUCAUGAAUUUUACUGAUUUAUUCGCUUAUUCUCAUUUCGAAAUAUAUUCAUUAUCACUGGAUCUCAUUCUCUUUAUUAGGGUAUAAUAUUUCGGAUGAGAUCCAGUGUACCCAAAAUUGUGUCCCACUCCAUGUCCCACAAGUAAAACUACGUAGUUUUGAUUGUAACUUAAAAUUAAAAAUUAUACUACUGCAUAUGAAAUCUCGGCUCAGCUUGACGGCUUGGAGAAUCUUCUCCAUUCACUGAUAGAUAUGCUUCAACCGUAUGAGAAGGAAAAUUUCCGAAUUUCCGGCAAAAAUCAUCAAGCCAUGGAAAUUAGAUAUCCUUUCUCUUCCCAAUUCAUUCGUUCUCCUACUCAUAUCCAAAGUUUGGGUCUGAAUCUGGUUUUAAUCUCUUUCUGCAAUCACGGUUCCACCAAAUCUGAAGGAAAGUUUCCGAAUUUCUGCCAAACAUCAUCUAGCCAUGGAAAGUAGAUAUUUUUCUCUUCAUAGUUCAUUCGUAUCUCCUACGCAAAUCCAAAAUUCAAACAUGAAUCUGGUUUUACUCAAUCUCUCUCCAGCCCUUUUCUCUCGCCAUCCUUUUCUGCGGCACAACGGAUACGACAAUCGAAAUCACGCCGUCGUUGCCGGAGUGCACCUGUCUCUUAAACAUUGUACUAAUGUUUGCAUCUGGCUUACUCGUAAAUGGACCUACUCACUAAUAACAAUCGCAUUUGUUGCUGAUCUUGGCACCCAGAGCAGGAUAAGAUGGACUUUCCCUGCAUUAGCUAUUGUUACAGCAAUCACAGAUGGAACCGGUUUUAUAGGUGUUUUUUUCGGUCCUCUUCUGGCUAGAUGUAUUUCGACUAGAGGGUGGUGGAACAACAUUUGUUCAUGCUUAUUAUUUCUUGUGCUGCGUGUUUGUUGAUUCUUGUUGUUAUAAAUGAAAUUAAAAUGAAAGCUGAAUGAGGGUAGAUGGCUAUGGCUCAGCAUAAUUGAUAGGUGAUCAUGGCCUUGUAUUUUUUAAUUUUUUCCUUAGUAUUGAUUGUUGACUGUAUAAUCCCUCCGGAUGGUCGGGGAUGAUGGACAUAUAUAUAUGUAUCCAGCUGUCCACUUGAAGAAUGAAUGGAGAUCAUCAUCGUGUAUAUUUUCCUGAACUUUUGAGGGCACUACUCUUUAUAAAAAUGUAUAAAUUGAUGACCAUCUCAUGUAUCUUAUCGCGCAGGUAUUGCACUUGAAUACCAUAUAUUGGAUCAAGAUUUAAUAUGACUAGUUUGGUA